UUUAGUUUUACAUAAACUACCGAAAAAUUUUCUUCAUAAACUUCUGUGAACCUGCAUAAAAAAUUAAUUCACAUUUAUUAAUCUAAUUUAAUGUUUGUAAAAUAUGUGCAGAUGUGAAAAAAAAAAAAAGAAUGAAAGAGGAGGAGUUUAGCACAUGCAUCUGAGGUGAUCUUGUUACAUUCUCUAGACUGUCACAAAGUUCAGUCCUGUUGUAGUGAAACACACAUGUACAAUGAUUCUUCAUUCAGUCAUCCUACUUUUGGCCUUGACAUCUGUGAGUUUUGGAGCUGAAAUCACACCAGACAGCACUGAGGAAUCUGCUGCAGUGGGUUCAACUGUUACUUUAUCCUGCAGUUAUUCCUCUGCAAACUCACUUCAAUGGUACCGUCAGUAUCCCGGAUCAGCUCCUCAGUUUCUUGUGCUCAUAAUAGAUGGUAUAAAAGAGACUAAGACAUCUGAUGUAGAUCCCAGAUUAUCUACUAAGCUCAGAAAAGAAACUCAAGCAACAAAAGAGAUCAGCCGUGUGGAUCUGAUCAUCUCCUCUGCUGCUGUAUCAGACUCUGCUCUGUAUUACUGUGCUCUGAGGCCCACAGUCACAGGAAACACAAGAACACUCUACAAAAACCUAAUACACAGAUAA